rnacentral:rRNA from 1 species
AUUGAACGCUGGCGGCAGGCCUAACACAUGCAAGUCGAGCGGCAGCGGGACCUUCGGGUUGCCGGCGAGCGGCGGACGGGUGAGUAAUGCCUAGGAAUCUGCCUGUUAGUGGGGGAUAACGCGGGGAAACUCGCGCUAAUACCGCAUACGUCCUACGGGAGAAAGCGGGGGCUCUUCGGACCUCGCGCUAACAGAUGAGCCUAGGUCGGAUUAGCUAGUUGGUGGGGUAAUGGCCCACCAAGGCGACGAUCCGUAACUGGUCUGAGAGGAUGAUCAGUCACACUGGAACUGAGACACGGUCCAGACUCCUACGGGAGGCAGCAGUGGGGAAUAUUGGACAAUGGGCGAAAGCCUGAUCCAGCCAUGCCGCGUGUGUGAAGAAGGUCUUCGGAUUGUAAAGCACUUUAAGUCGGGAGGAAGGGCUGUAGGCUAAUACCUUGCAGUUUUGACGUUACCGACAGAAUAAGCACCGGCUAACUUCGUGCCAGCAGCCGCGGUAAUAC